AUGAUCCGUGCAGCUAUUUUAGCUAUUGGACCUGUUGUUUGAUGCUACCAACAUCUUCAAUAAAGACAAGGCCUCCAUCCUUAUAUCUCCUCUCAGGAGUACCAAAAUCAUGCCAGCUUUCCACUACGUCAGAUAAAAACUAUAAGACGGCCAAAGGCUGGUACUCCUUCCCACAGCAUUCUGAGACUGAUACCAUGUGUGCAAGGUGACUUACAAGAGAGCUCUCUGGCAGUAACUGGAGAAACCAAGGAUGCUGGACACGUGAGGGAGAAAAGGAGGCCCUGGCAUCAAGAAAGCCGAUUCAGAGAGUCAAGGCUUGAGGUAUGAAGAAAGAAUAGUAUCAGGUCCCACCAUGUGUUGCUCCAGAGAUGUCAUCAGCAAGAGAUGGGAGCUAGGAUGGCUGCUCCAAUGCUGUUAUGAUCAUAUCAACACUACUAAAAUACUCCUU
rnacentral:lncRNA from 1 species